AUUAGUAAAAAUUGGAGUAUAUGCCAGACGAGUAACAGCUUAACCAACUUUCAGUUGCUCGGAGCUAGUUUUGGAACGCUCCAUGAAAUAUUUUCAUGGACGGUAAAUGCAACCCUGGGUGCAUCAUUAAUGAGCUGAAAAACCAAAACAAAUAAUUAAAUAAGUGCGUGCGUCUAAAAGUUUCGGAACAAAUUGUGGAUUAAAGCCUUUCGAAAGUGAAAAAUAACGUAAAAAGGAAGAUGCCGAAAAGGUGUGUAUCCAGAUGUCCAGAACAAGGAUCCUUGUAUAAGUUUCCAUCGGAGGGAGAAAUGCCAAG
rnacentral:lncRNA from 1 species